rnacentral:rRNA from 1 species
UGGAUCCAGACUUUGAUUAUGGCUCAGGAUGAACGCUAGCUACAGGCCUAACACAUGCAAGUCGAGGGGCUUCAUGGGGGUCGCUUGCGACCCCUGAUGGCGACCGGCGAAUGGGUGAGUAACGCGUAUCCAACCUGCCCCGCGCCCGGGGAUAGCCCUUGGAAAUGAGGAUUAAGACCCGAUAUGUGGCGACGCCGCAUGGCGGCUCCAUGAAACAGACGCGGGAUGGGGAUGCGUUGGAUUAGCCAGCCGGCAGGGCAGCGGCCUACCGGGGCGACGAUCCAUAGGGGUUCUGAGAGGAAGGUCCCCCACACUGGCACUGAGACACGGGCCAGACUCCUACGGGAGGCAGCAGUGAGGAAUAUUGGUCAAUGGGCGAGAGCCUGAACCAGCCAAGUAGCGUGCAGGAUGACGGCCCUACGGGUUGUAAACUGCUUUUGCGGGAGAAUAACCGGCGCCACGCGUGGCGCCCUGCAGGUAUCCCGUGAAUAAGGACCGGCUAAUUCCGUGCCAGCAGCCGCGGUAAUACGGAAGGUCCGGGCGUUAUCCGGAUUUAUUGGGUUUAAAGGGAGCGCAGGCGGAGGAUCAAGCCAGCCGUGAAAUGGCGGCGCUCAACGCCGUCCGGCGGUUGGAACUGGUCCCCUUGAUUGCGGGAGAGGAAGGCGGAACUCGUGGUGUAGCGGUGAAAUGCAUAGGUAUCACGAAGAACCCCGAUUGCGAAGGCAGCCUUCCGGCCCGUGAAUGACGCUCAUGCUCGAAGGCGCGGGUAUCAAACAGGAUUAGAUACCCUGGUAGUCCGCGCGGUAAACGAUGAAUGCUCGGGAUUCGGGCUUUAUGUCUGAGUCCCCCAGCGAAAGCGUUAAG